rnacentral:rRNA from 1 species
AUUCUAGAGCUAAUACAUGCUGUAAAGCCCGACUUUUCGGAAGGGCCGUAUUUAUUAGAUAACAGACCAAUAUUCCUCGUGUCUAUUGUGGUGAAUCAUAGUAACUAAUCGGAUCGCAUGGGCUAGUCCCGCGACAAACCAUUCAAGUUUCUGCCCCAUCAGCUUUCGAUGGUAGUGUAUUGGACUACCAUGGCUUUUACGGGUAACGGAGGAUUAGGGUUCGAUUCCGGAGAGGGAGCCUGAGAAACGGCUACCACAUCUAAGGAAGGCAGCAGGCGCGUAAAUUACCCAAUCCUGACUCAGGGAGGUAGUG